GACGAACGCUGGCGGCGUGCUUAACACAUGCAAGUCGAGCGGUAAGGCCCUUUCGGGGGUACACGAGCGGCGAACGGGUGAGUAACACGUGGGUGACCUGCCCUCCACUCUGGGAUAAGCCCGGGAAACUGGGUCUAAUACCGGAUAGGACCAUUGGAGGCAUGUCUGGUGGUGGAAAGUUUUUUCGGUGGGGGAUGGGCCCGCGGCCUAUCAGCUGGUUGGUGGGGUGAUGGCCUACCAGGGCGGUGACGGGUAGCCGGCCUGAGAGGGCGACCGGCCACACUGGGACUGAGACACGGCCCAGACUCCUACGGGAGGCAGCAGUGGGGAAUAUUGCGCAAUGGGCGGAAGCCUGACGCAGCGACGCCGCGUGGGGGAUGACGGCCUUCGGGUUGUAAACCUCUUUCGCCAGGGACGAAGCUAACGUGACGGUACCUGGAGAAGAAGCACCGGCCAACUACGUGCCAGCCGCCGCCGUAA
rnacentral:rRNA from 1 species